rnacentral:rRNA from 1 species
AUCAGCAGCUAGAUCACCUUGCAACUCACAGCUGGCAACCCACUGAAGCUAAACAGGUGUGAGCUUGGCCAAUACUUAGAUGGGAGACCUCCUGGGAAAGUUAAGGUUGCUGCUGUAA